AUUAGAGUUUGAUCCUGGCUCAGAUUGAACGCUGGCGGCAUGCUUUACACAUGCAAGUCGAACGGCAGCGCGGGGCAGCCUGGCGGCGAGUGGCGAACGGGUGAGUAAUACAUCGGAACGUACCCAGAAGUGGGGGAUAACGUAGCGAAAGUUACGCUAAUACCGCAUACGAUCUACGGAUGAAAGUGGGGGACCUUCGGGCCUCAUGCUUUUGGAGCGGCCGAUGUCUGAUUAGCUAGUUGGUGAGGUAAAGGCUCACCAAGGCGACGAUCAGUAGCUGGUCUGAGAGGACGACCAGCCACACUGGGACUGAGACACGGCCCAGACUCCUACGGGAGGCAGCAGUGGGGAAUUUUGGACAAUGGGCGCAAGCCUGAUCCAGCAAUGCCGCGUGAGUGAAGAAGGCCUUCGGGUUGUAAAGCUCUUUUGUCAGGGAAGAAACGGCUGAGGAUAAUACCUUCGGCUAAUGACGGUACCUGAAGAAUAAGCACCGGCUAACUACGUGCCAGCAGCCGCGGUAAUAAU
rnacentral:rRNA from 1 species